AGAUGUUAAAUAUGGAGUCACCAUCCCUGUCCUAAAUUUUUGAAUAGUUACACACUUAUACUGCUGUAAACUUUAAAGAUUCAUCCAACUAUUUCUAAUUGCAGAAUACUAAUCAUUUCUGUGUAUAGCAUAGGGAAUGUUUAUAGUCCCAGAGAAAAUUGGAACCUGUCAUUUUCCUGUUAGCUGAAAGUCAUCUAUGCUUUCCUUAGGAUACUGGUUUUUCUGCAAGUCUAAGAAAGAUACUGGAUACAAACCAAAAGCUAAACAGUGAAAAUGCUACUCUACAGCGAGACAUUGGCACAUUUCAAAAUGAGGUUUUCAUACUACAAGAGGAUAUUAACAGACGGAAAAGGAAAAUGAAUGAGACAAUAAAAUACAUGGAACAUCAAACAAUGUCAGUAAGAGAAGUGACAGAAGAGUUGCUAACAAAUGAUUCUGGUUGUUGUGAAAAGACCAGAAACAUAUUCCAAGAAAUCCAAGAGCUAGAGGAUGAAAUUGCUACCAUAAAGCUAUUACUGGAUAUAGUAAAACGUCAUUUUAAAUGAGGAUGCAAAUGCUGAAAAAAAGGACAGAUACAAAAUGUAAAGUAUUCCAAAUUUCACAGAAUUCAUUCACAACCUAAUGCUGAGGCCUGAUCUCAAGCAAGACACAGUAUUCAGUGAUAGAAUGGAAGCCUGGGGGUUGUAUUCAAAAAGCUCCAGGUUUGGCCCUGAUACGAUGUGUAAAGUAUGUGUAAAGUAUACUCUGCAGUUCAUUUAAAAUAAAGUCAAUAAUUUUUUUAUUGCUUCUUCAA